UACGAGGGGGGCAAAUGUUGUUCGGAAUCACUGGGCGUAAAGGGAGCGUAGGCGGUUUUUUAAGUUAGGUGUUUAAUCCCGGGGCCCAACCCCGGACAGGCACCUAAAACUGGGAAACUUGAAUAGGGGAGAGGUCGGUGGAAUUGGAGGUGUAGCGGUGGAAUGCGUAGAGAUCUCCAAGAACACCAGUUGCGAAGGCGGCCGACUGGACCCAUAUUGACGCUGAGGCUCGAAAGCAUGGGGGAGCAA
rnacentral:rRNA from 1 species